rnacentral:tRNA from 1 species
AACAAAGAAGUAAAUAUUACAUUUAGUUUCGACCUAAAAUUAGAAAUAAAAUUUCCAUGUUU